AGUACGUCGUCUUGGAUAUCAGGCUCAGUGGAUUUUUGGGGGUAUUUAUAGUUCAGAGAGCGCGUGGCAAAAAUUGGAAGGCGAGGGGGCGAAGGAAACCCAAGGCCAAUUAGCCUGGACCUUUCUUUUGGCCCCUCGCAUCCUGCUUCGUCUCCAAGUCUCCCCUGGUGCUCUGGAAUCUUCUUUUCACUUGCAUGUGGGCCUGGCACGUCGAUAGCUUCAGGAUGAGAUUGAUAUUCAAUGACUUUCCAAAUCUACG
rnacentral:lncRNA from 1 species